CCUACGGGAGGCAGCAGUGGGGAAUUUUGGACAAUGGGCGCAAGCCUGAUCCAGCAAUGCCGCGUGCAGGAUGAAGGCCUUCGGGUUGUAAACUGCUUUUGUACGGAACGAAACGGCGAGCUCUAAUAAAGUUCGCUAAUGACGGUACCGUAAGAAUAAGCACCGGCUAACUACGUGCCAGCAGCCGCGGUAAUACGUAGGGUGCAAGCGUUAAUCGGAAUUACUGGGCGUAAAGCGUGCGCAGGCGGUGAUGUAAGACAGAUGUGAAAUCCCCGGGCUCAACCUGGGACCUGCAUUUGUGACUGCAUCGCUAGAGUACGGUAGAGGGGGGAUGGAAUUCCGCGUGUAGCAGUGAAAUGCGUAGAUAUGCGGAGGAACACCGAUGGCGAAGGCAAUCCCCUGGACCUGUACUGACGCUCAUGCACGAAAGCGUGGGGAGCAAACAGGAUUAGAUACCCUGGUAGUCCACGCCCUAAACGAUGUCAACUGGUUGUUGGGUCUUCACUGACUCAGUACGAAGCUAACGCGUGAAGUUGACCGCCUGGGGUGUAGCGCGAGUUAGUUAAGUACAAGAGAGUGAGGCGNGAGAGNGCGACGGACGACGACGAGGGAGGAGG
rnacentral:rRNA from 1 species